UCUUAAUAUUUUGACUUUUAUUUGGUUUUCCCAUUUUUGCUGCUGUUGUUGUUUUUUUUUAAGUUUCCUCGUUAAAUUACAUUUUUAGACUGUGCUGCGGGCCGAUAAAAUCACAGCCACACGCUGCAAAUGGCCCCCGGGCCGCACUUUGGACACCCCUGAUCUAUUUGAUGGCACCACCAGGCCUUGAACCUCCUAAUAAACAUUUUUUUAAAAAGCCUGUGUCAUUUUAAGAGAAAUAAAGUCAUACAUUUUCCAGAAAAACAAGUUGUAACCUUACAAGAAUAAAGUUGUAAUACUUGAUGAGAACUGAGAUGCAAUCAAUCUUUAAUAUUCCUCUGAUCAUAUUUCUUCUGAUGUGCUGUGUAGGUGAUGUGGUGAAAGAGAGUGCGGCGUGUCCCACCUGGGGAUGUUCCAGGCGUCCCCCAGAGACUGCCAGAGCUGGUCCUCCUCUGCAGUGGCCUCCUCGCUCAUGAGGCAGAUGCACUGAGGAGUCAGCAGAGGAGCCACGAUGCUUGGAGGCAGCUCCUUGGAGCAGUGAGACGCAAGCUGGGGAAGGAAUAGGACACAAUAUUAGCAGGUGGGGCCCGUUGACCUCCAGCAGCAUGUUCUGACCCCACACUCGCCCCAUCCGGUCCAGCAGAUUGAGCCUCUCCACGCAGUCCGGGAGGCCUCGCAGCUCCGUGCCGUCCAGCUCACACAAAGAGCAAAGAUUCUCACCUGAACCAUGAUGAGUUUCCUCUCCGUCGGCCUUCCAUCGGGCCACUCCUCUCCAAAACACAAGCUGAUUUCAAACUGGGGUGGAUUUGGCGUCUGGCCGCGCUGGUGGGCGAUCACGCCUACGAAUGAAAAAGGCAGUUACAGUAUGUGGCAUAAAAGAACGACGCAGGAUGCGAGGACAGGCGCUGCAGAGAGAACCUACCGCCGAGAAAAGACUCCAGGCAAAACAGUUUGACCUUUUUCUGUCGCUCAAUAGGAUUGGGCGCGGCGGCGUUGGGCGCGCAGGGGCCGGACCAGUACACCUUGCACUGGCACAGGCGGAUGGCGUAGAUGUCGUGGCCGCUCACCUCCAGGAUCAGACCUCGGUCCAUCACGUCCAGCAGGCGGUUUGUGAAGAGCCUCUGCUUGUCGUUGGUGAUGUUCUCUGUGGUCGGGAAGCGCAGCUGCUCCAGGCUGACCGGCCCAAACAGCUCCUCCUGGUUCACCAUGGGGCCGAGGUCGCCGUAGAAGAGCCUGCAGCCCUGCGGGUUGCUGACGGUGAUGGUGGGACACAUCUCCCUGCCUCGGUACAGGAACUGCACCUCCAGGUCGGUCACUGUGUCAAAAAAAAAAAAAAAAAAAGGUUUGCUAUGUGGCUGCUUUGACGGUGAAGUUACGCACUUGACUGCACUUCCUUCAUUGACCAGGGGGGCAAUUCCAUCAAAUGAUUAUCAUUUUGAAGGGGAUAGGAGAAUCCCUCUAAAUCGAGGUUGUCCAAAGUAAGGCACAUUCUAAAAAUACCAAGAAAAAAAAAAAAAAAAACGGCAAAAUGGAAGAAAAACAGUCACUUUUUGAAAAUAAAGUCAUAAUAUUACAAGAAAAAAAAGGGUGGGGGGGGUUAUUAAAAUAAAAAAAAUAA